rnacentral:rRNA from 1 species
AGUGAACGCUGGCGGUAGGCCUAACACAUGCAAGUCGAACGGCAGCACAGUAAGAGCUUGCUCUUACGGGUGGCGAGUGGCGGACGGGUGAGGAAUACAUCGGAAUCUACUUUUUCGUGGGGGAUAACGUAGGGAAACUUACGCUAAUACCGCAUACGACCUACGGGUGAAAGCAGUGGAUCUUCGGACCUUUCGCGAUUGAAUGAGCCGAUGUCGGAUUAGCUAGUUGGCGGGGUAAAGGCCCACCAAGGCGACGAUCCGUAGCUGGUCUGAGAGGAUGAUCAGCCACACUGGAACUGAGACACGGUCCAGACUCCUACGGGAGGCAGCAGUGGGGAAUAUUGGACAAUGGGCGAAAGCCUGAUCCAGCCAUGCCGCGUGGGUGAAGAAGGCCUUCGGGUUGUAAAGCCCUUUUGUUGGGAAAGAAAAGCAGCAGGUUAAUCCACCGCUGUUCUGACGGUACCCAAAGAAUAAGCCACGGCUAACUUCGUG